AUUGAACGCUGGCGGCAGGCCUAACACAUGCAAGUCGAACGGUAACAGGAAGCAGCUUGCUGCUUUGCUGACGAGUGGCGGACGGGUGAGUAAUGUCUGGGAAACUGCCCGAUGGAGGGGGAUAACUACUGGAAACGGUAGCUAAUACCGCAUAACGUCGCAAGACCAAAGAGGGGGACCUUAGGGCCUCUUGCCAUCGGAUGUGCCCAGAUGGGAUUAGCUAGUAGGUGGGGUAACGGCUCACCUAGGCGACGAUCCCUAGCUGGUCUGAGAGGAUGACCAGCCACACUGGAACUGAGACACGGUCCAGACUCCUACGGGAGGCAGCAGUGGGGAAUAUUGCACAAUGGGCGCAAGCCUGAUGCAGCCAUGCCGCGUGUAUGAAGAAGGCCUUUGGGUUGUAAAGUACUUUCAGCGGGGAGGAAGGGAGUAAAGUUAAUACCUUUGCUCAUUGACGUUACCCGCAGAAGAAGCACCGGCUAACUCCGUG
rnacentral:rRNA from 1 species